rnacentral:lncRNA from 1 species
GUGAGAAACAGCUUUCUGUCAUCAAAUAAAUGUGUCCAGCACUAUUUUGGUGACUUAGAAGUAUUCGAUUGUGGAAUAUACUCUCAUUUAUUCAAGUAAUUUUCUGACUGCAUGACUGUUUUAUUUUACCUAGCUCUAUGAGAUGGCCACAGUGCUUUGAAUGUUUGUCCCUCAAAACUCAUGUUGAACCUUAAUCUCCAGUGUAACAGUAUUAAAAGGUAGGACCUUUAAGAGAUGAUUGGAUCAUGAAGGCUUUGCUGUCAUGAAUGGGUUAAUCCAUUCACGGAUUAGUGAAUUAGUGGGUGACUGGAUUAAGGGGUUAUCACGGGAGUGGGUCGGUUUAAAAGCCGGUUUGACUUGCUCUUGCCCUCACUGGUGUGUGCUCUGCCGAGUGACGGUGCAGGAGGGCGCCCUCACUGGAUGCCUGUGCCUUCAUGUUAGACUUUCCAGCCUCCAAAAUGAUGAAUCAACUCAAGCAAGGAGGAGCUAA